UACGUAGGGUGCGAGCGUUGUCCGGAAUUAUUGGGCGUAAAGAGCUCGUAGGCGGUUUGUCACGUCGGAUGUGAAAUCCCGGGGCUUAACUCCGGGCCUGCAUUCGAUACCGGCUGACUAGAGUUCGGCAGGGGAGACUGGAAUUCCUGGUGUAGCGGUGAAAUGCGCAGAUAUCAGGAGGAACACCGGUGGCGAAGGCGGGUCUCUGGGCCGAUACUGACGCUGAGGAGCGAAAGCGUGGGGAGCGAACAGG
rnacentral:rRNA from 1 species